UACGGAGGGUGCAAGCGUUAUCCGGAUUCACUGGGUUUAAAGGGUGCGUAGGUGGGCUUGUAAGUCAGUGGUGAAAUCUCUGGGCUUAACCCAGAAAUUGCCAUUGAUACUGUAGGGCUUGAGUACAGUUGCUGUGGGCGGAAUAUGACAUGUAGUGGUGAAAUACAUAGAGAUGUCAUAGAACACCGAUUGCGAAGGCAGCUCACAAAACUGUAACUGACACUGAGGCUCGAAAAGUGCGGGGAUCAAACAGG
rnacentral:rRNA from 1 species